rnacentral:lncRNA from 1 species
UUUGGGUGGUUGUGCUCACCCCUAUAAACAAUUUCUGCAAUCUGUCCAUCAAAUGAUCUUUCAACCUUCUUUUUCACAGGACACUUUAGAUGCGUGCAUUUAUAGUAACUUCUCGGGUAUUCACUUCCUUUAACUUGCUUUUGUCCAUAUUUUCUCCAAUUAUAUCCAUCAUAACUAGGACGAUCAACAUUACUCGUGUUGAUCAAAGAUUGUUCAACCUCUUCUGUGUUCUCAGAUACAAUUGUUGAAUGCACUAUUUUUUUGUCUGAUUUUGCCAAGAGACUUUGUUGAGAUUCUGUCGUAUGAUCAUGUUGUUGUUUAACUUCAUUUGCUGAUUGAACAUGAGCCUCAGCCUCAGCUAUUUCUUGUUGCUGAUCAGAUGCAAAACUUCCCUAUGCAUAACAUGUGCUAGAUUUUGUUAUUGUCGCAGAGCUAGAGUAUAAUGGUACAUUUUCACAGCUAGUUUAGCCAUGUAAAAAGGAAAUUAACCUUAUUUUCAAGGAGAGGAAUGGUUUUCCUCGGUGCAUGUUUGGCCAUGGGCUUAAACAGGACCUUUGGUUUCUCUAACAGUUGCAAGAUGUUAUCAGAUCGACUACCAACUGGUGCACCAGACAUGCCAACCUGAAGUAACAAGUCUUUCUAUAAGAUUACAAAAUUGCACAGAAAACAAUUGAAAUAUUACUCAAAAUGCACCUUUAUAGUAAACAAAGAAGAGGUUAGGGGCCAUAUAAGUGACGGAAACUUAGAAAGAAGAGAUUAUCAACCUGUGAAGAAAGAUCGUCAACUAAAGCAUUGUUUGUUGCAGGCUUUAACCUGACAGUCUUUGGUCUUAUGGCUGUAAUAGCCAUUUCAGAAUGAACAUCCGUCGAUGAGAUAUCUAUUGCACCAGCCAAGAGCUCGGAGAAAGAUUUGUAAAUAGGACAUCUAGGCCUUGAAG